UACAGAGGUCUCAAGCGUUGUUCGGAUUCAUUGGGCGUAAAGGGUGUGUAGGUGGCGCGCUAAGUCGGGUGUGAAAUUUCGGAGCUUAACUCCGAAACUGCAUUCGAUACUGGCGUGCUUGAGGACUGGAGAGGAGACUGGAAUUCAUGGUGUAGCAGUGAAAUGCGUAGAGAUCAUGAGGAAGACCAGUGGCGAAGGCGGGUCUCUGGACAGUUCCUGACACUGAGGCGCGAAAGCGUGGGGAGCAAACGGG
rnacentral:rRNA from 1 species